GUUGCAGGCACGGGGCUUUUUGAGGUGUGUGUUUGUGACAAGGCCUUGUGGGAAGCAGGUCUGGGCAGUGGGGACAGUGGAGUGCAAUCUGAUUGCAUCAGCAUGCAGACCAGGAGCCCCGAGGACAGUAUGUCCCUUUGCGAAAGUUAGGCCAAGGGGCUGGGUGUUGCAUCCUGACAGGCUUCUGGGAGAAAGGGUGUAACCUCAGGUGAUGAGGCACCCUGUGACCAAGGCAGAGGGACGCAUCAGGAAGCAAGGCUGGAUUUUCCAUCUGCAUCUGCCCUGGAAGCACAGGAAAAUGGAGCGAGUUCUCUAUUGGUCCACGCAACGGCAAGUCAAACCCAUUUUACUCCUGCCACCUAGUGGCCAGAGGCCAACAAUACACCAAUUUAAAUGGACAGACCAGAGCUCAGGUGGGCAGGGAAACCAAAUUGUGCUCUGCGGGUUCCCACCCAGAAAGUUCAGGGACUUGCCUUCAUCUGCAAGUCUCUGAUGAGCUUGAGGUUGGCUCGAACACUUACUCAAGGGCUGGUCCUAGCUGGUCACCAGAAUGACUGUGAGUGUUUUAAAAAUCCAGACGCUGAGCCGGUCUCAGCCUCCUGACUCAGAUCCCUGCACAGGGACCUAAGCAUCUAUAUUAGAGACCUGGACCCAUUGAGACCCCCAUGCUGAAUGUAGACUUUUCCAGAACACGAACCACAUGGCUCUCGAUUCCUCUGUGGAUCAGUUCCUGACAUGUGCCUGGCACUGAAAACUAAGCCUUGAUGGAAGGAUGAGUGAAUUCAGGACAUCAUGAAUGGAUGAGUGAACACGGUAAAGAUCUUUAUAAAACAGAUUUUUCAAUGGAGAUGGAAUUCACAUAACAUAAAAUUCACCAUUGGAAGGUCCACUGUUCAAUUGAGUGCAGUGGUGCACACCUGUAAUCCCAGUGGAUGGAGAGGCUGAGGCAGGAGGAUCACAAGUUCGAGACCAGCCUAAACAAUUUAGGAAGGCCCUAAACAACUUACCAAGACUCUGUCUCAAAAUAAAAAAAUAAAAUAAAAAGGGCUGGACAUGUGG
rnacentral:lncRNA from 1 species